CGUUUCUAGAUUUAAACCUUACAAAAAUUCUAUUUACAACAAGAUUUCAUCAUUCAUAUUAUCAGAUUACCAGUUUACCCUUGGAUUUUAUAAUUGUUUUAAUAUAAAGCAAGGGGCAAAAGAAUUUUUUUAUAUAUGAUCCCAAAAUAGAAAACAGAAGGGUUAACCUCCUAUUCUCCCUUCAAUCUCUCAAUCUCUCUCGUUUCCUCUCGAACCUUGUAUCUCUCUCGCACCACUGCCUUACAAACCCUCCGUCCGAUUGCCUUCACCCUUCUUCCAGCGAUAGUUCCGAUUGCACCACUGUCCGAGUAGGCGAGCAGGAAAAGAGCCAAUCGCGGACCAACCCUAAACUGUAAGCUGUGCUAUACGUUUCUUAAGUUAAACCCGAAAGUGGUGCGUUUGCUACAGACUGCCCAUAAAAACUGUGGAGGUUCGGGAACCGACUUUAGGCGUCGUUUCACCCAGGUAGACUUGAAAGUUCAACUCUAGGGACCUUCCAGGGAGAAGUAAAGGAUGGUGAAGUUGUAAUAGGUUGAACGUGCUGAGUUGUAACUUAAUCCUUUUAUUUAAAAACAGUUAGUAUUGUUCAUACUCUUACCUGUGGCGAUCCGGGUUUGGGUAGUUGUUGUGGAUGUUAACUUAUGUUGGUUGAAUUUAAUGAUGUAAAUUAUUAGUUUUAAUCAGCUUUUGCUUUC